rnacentral:rRNA from 2 species
UACGGAGGGAGCUAGCGUUGUUCGGAAUUACUGGGCGUAAAGCGCGCGUAGGCGGCUUUUUAAGUCAGAGGUGAAAGCCCGGGGCUCAACCCCGGAAUUGCCUUUGAAACUGGAAAGCUAGAAUCUUGGAGAGGUCAGUGGAAUUCCGAGUGUAGAGGUGAAAUUCGUAGAUAUUCGGAAGAACACCAGUGGCGAAGGCGACUGACUGGACAAGUAUUGACGCUGAGGUGCGAAAGCGUGGGGAGCAAAC